UCAGGACGAACGCUGGCGGCGUGCGUAAUACAUGCAAGUCGUACGCUUUUUCUUUCACCGGAGCUUGCUCCACCGAAAGAAAAGGAGUGGCGAACGGGUGAGUAACACGUGGGUAACCUGCCCAUCAGAAGGGGAUAACACUUGGAAACAGGUGCUAAUACCGUAUAACAAUCGAAACCGCAUGGUUUUGAUUUGAAAGGCGCUUUCGGGUGUCGCUGAUGGAUGGACCCGCGGUGCAUUAGCUAGUUGGUGAGGUAACGGCUCACCAAGGCCACGAUGCAUAGCCGACCUGAGAGGGUGAUCGGCCACAUUGGGACUGAGACACGGCCCAAACUCCUACGGGAGGCAGCAGUAGGGAAUCUUCGGCAAUGGACGAAAGUCUGACCGAGCAACGCCGCGUGAGUGAAGAAGGUUUUCGGAUCGUAAAACUCUGUUGUUAGAGAAGAACAAGGAUGAGAGUAACUGUUCAUCCCUUGACGGUAUCUAACCAGAAAGCCACGGCUAACUACGUGCCAGCAGCCGCGGUAAUACGUAGGUGGCAAGCGUUGUCCGGAUUUAUUGGGCGUAAAGCGAGCGCAGGCGGUUUCUUAAGUCUGAUGUGAAAGCCCCCGGCUCAACCGGGGAGGGUCAUUGGAAACUGGGAGACUUGAGUGCAGAAGAGGAGAGUGGAAUUCCAUGUGUAGCGGUGAAAUGCGUAGAUAUAUGGAGGAACACCAGUGGCGAAGGCGACUCUCUGGUCUGUAACUGACGCUGAGGCUCGAAAGCGUGGGGAGCAAACAGGAUUAGAUACCCUG
rnacentral:rRNA from 1 species